rnacentral:lncRNA from 1 species
CAGGACAUCAGUAGAGACUGAUUUAUUUAUGAAAAGGAGCAUUUGAGACUCACAUAGGCUGUUAUCCAAUAUUGCAUGUAUACCAUUAGUUAUGAGGUUGGCAUUAGAAUCUGGUUUUCCAAAAGCUCUGCUCAAAGGAAUUCUUUAUUAGGUUUUAUUGAUAGUUUAUAAAUAAUUAGCAGUUUCUAGUUAUCCUAGAACAGCUAACCUCACCACAGAAAUGGCCCCCCCACCCUAGAAGGGAAUGGGAAGAAUGGAGUGAUCAGAGUUGAGGGAUAUCCAGUAUCAGGAGACAGUCACUGCUCUACAUCCUCAAAGCUGCAGCUCCUCCACGGGACUGUGGCUCUUUAUCUCUCGGCUUGAUCAUAGAACAAAAUGUGAAGACAACAGUGAAUUUCCUGGUUCCCACCCCCUCAUCUCUGUUUUUCUAUAGUAAAGCUCACUGUCCAGCUCACCAAUACUUUCUACCUGGAAUGACUUCAAAGGAAAAUCUGCUAUGAUUUUCCUAUAUCCUGUCAUAAACUGUAGUUCGUGGUAAGGUGAACGUUUUGCCCACACAACUGGAGUUCGCGGAAGCAUUUUUCCGCUUCUUAUUACCAAACAAGAUGGAGUCAUACCCCGCAGAAAAGCCUUCUGCUGGGAGAAGCUUGCCUUUCAGUCCUGGCUGGUUUCUAACCUUUUAACAAGCUUUCCUGAAGAUGGCGCCACAUGCUCAGCUAUAUUACAACCUGCAUCCUCUCGUGAUCUCUUCUGAAAUCACCAAGUCCCCAAUAGCUACAGAGACUUACAGAAAGACCUGUAGGAAAUGCUACCUUGAAAUGACAUUCUUGUAUUAAAGUGUAAAGAUUAAUCUAAAUCACCCAAGGAAUAAUCUGAUCAGAUCAUCUCGAAAUUUUCAGUUAGGAGAGGGGAUUACACAAAAAAAAUACAGUAAAUGCUAUUUGAGUUAGAUCAAUGGCAGGUUCUGAAAGCCAAAGUCCGUCUCUGACCUUGCUUCUCCUUUGUUCCCUUUUUUCAGUCAAUGACACCAGCUAUUAAGUUGCCAGAGCCAGAAGCUUGAAUGACAUCUUUGAUCCUUCUCUCUACUUUAACUUCCCCACCGGCAGCCCCACAUCCAGUCAGUCACCCAGUCCUAUCUAUUCUAGUCUGUAAAUGUCUUUCAAGUGUGUCCACAUCUCUCCAUUCCCUCUGCUACUAGUGAGGUCCAAAAGUACACCACGUGCCCCCUGCACCACUGCAGGAGUGUGUCAGCCGUUUCCCCUUUAUUACAGCUCAUUCCUCUUAAUCUGCUCUCCACUCUACCUCUACAGUGAUCUUUUGAAAGACAGACCCAAUCAUGUAAUCGCCCUGUUUACAAUCUUCUGUGGCUCCCUAGUGCUCUCAUGUUAAGUCUGAAGUCUUACACAGCCUACAAUGCUUUUUAUAAUCUAGCUGCCUCUUCUUCAGAUUCAUUUUGCAACACCA